rnacentral:lncRNA from 1 species
AGGUAGGAUGAAUUGGACAAGGAUGAGACUCGUGUAGGUGAGGACAGUUGGAAGGAUCAUGAUGUCGUAAUCUUGGAGUUAGGUGAAACAGCUUUUCCUAAAAGGAUUGUACACCUUAGAAGUGCUUAAGGAAGAGUGAUGAAGCUCUGAAUCGUGUCCUGCAGCAGAUUCGAGUGCCACCCAAGAUGAAGAGAGGGACAAGC